rnacentral:rRNA from 1 species
CCUACGGGGGGCUGCAGUGAGGAAUAUUGGUCAAUGGCCGGAAGGCUGAACCAGCCAAGCCGCGUGAGGGACGAAGGUGCCAAGCAUUGUAAACUUCUUUUGUCAAGGGACAAAAUCAGGCUCGAGAGCCUGACCGAGGGUACUUGAAGAAAAAGCAUCGGCUAACUCCGUUCCAGCAGCCGCGGUAAUACGGAGGAUGCGAGCGUUAUCCGGAUUUAUUGGGUUUAAAGGGUGCGUAGGCGGACUGUUAAGUCAGCGGUAAAAGCCCGGGGCUCAACCCCGGCGAGCCGUUGAAACUGGCGGUCUUGAGAUGUCGAGAGGUAUGCGGAAUGCGCAGUGUAGCGGUGAAAUGCUUAGAUAUUGCGCAGAACUCCGAUUGCGAAGGCAGCAUACCGGCGGCGAUCUGACGCUGAGACACGAAAGCGUGGGUAUCGAACAGGAUUAGAUACCCGAGUAGUC